rnacentral:rRNA from 1 species
AAAUAAUUUAGUUAAAAUUAUUUGUAUAAUUAUAAAUUGAAAUUAAUUUAUUUAUUUUGUUGGGGUGACAAAAAAAUAAGUAAAACUUUUUUUUUAAAAAAACAUAUAUAAGUGAAUAAAUGAUCCAAUAUUAUUGAUUAAAAGAAAAAA